UGAGUAACACGUGAGCAAUCUGCCCCUGACUCUGGGAUAAGCGUUGGAAACGACGUCUAAUACCGGAUACGAGCUGCGACCGCAUGGUCAGCAGUUGGAAAGAAUUUCGGUCAGGGAUGAGCUCGCGGCCUAUCAGUUUGUUGGUGAGGUAAUGGCUCACCAAGGCGUCGACGGGUAGCCGGCCUGAGAGGGUGACCGGCCACACUGGGACUGAGACACGGCCCAGACUCCUACGGGAGGCAGCAGUGGGGAAUAUUGCACAAUGGGCGCAAGCCUGAUGCAGCAACGCCGCGUGAGGGACGACGGCCUUCGGGUUGUAAACCUCUUUUAGCAAGGAAGAAGCGAAAGUGACGGUACUUGCAGAAAAAGCGCCGGCUAACUACGUGCCAGCAGCCGCGGUAAUACGUAGGGCGCAAGCGUUAUCCGGAAUUAUUGGGCGUAAAGAGCUCGUAGGCGGUUUGUCGCGUCUGCUGUGAAAUCCCGAGGCUCAACCUCGGGUCUGCAGUGGGUACGGGCAGACUAGAGUGCGGUAGGGGAGAUUGGAAUUCUGGUGUAGCGGUGGAAUGCGCAGAUAUCAGGAGGAACAC
rnacentral:rRNA from 1 species